ensembl:lncRNA
CCCUUGGACGCGUCUCUCUGGGUUUCGCAGCUCUGAUCGGGUCUCUGCGGGCCUCCUUCUGCUUCGCUGCUGGCUGGGAGGUCAGGAGGGAAGUACGUCUCCCGCGAUGCCGCCCGCGAGGGUCUCCGUUUGAGGAGCGCUGGGUCGCCGGUCCUUGUGGUUCCUGAGUACCGGUGUUCAGCAUCUUGGCCGGAGCAGCCUAGGACGUGGACUUGUUCGCACUCCACACCUCGGGGAGGGAUCUUUCCUCUUCCCCUCAGAAAAAUAUGCAUUUUGCAAGCCCCGGGUUCGUGCCCUCCGCCCGCCGCUGCAGGAAGCCUGUGGGACCCGGGGUCUCGCAGGGCGCGUCUCAGCGUGAAGCGAGAAGCCAGGGCUCUGGCUGGUGCGAGGGGCGGGCUCCUGGCGGACUGUCCCGUGGUCUCUGCCCGGCCUUGCCCCGGAGGACCUCCCACCGCUCCGGCUCCUCCGGCGUCCUUGGCGGGUUAAGG